CUUGCCUUAAGGGGCAGGAUGAGCAAAGGGAAGGGCUCCUCACAUCCCUGCAGAAUCAAGUUACUCAGCUAAAAGGCCACAGAAAACAGCUUUAGUCCGAUGCUUUUUGUGAGAUCCUCAGUAACUGGAGGGAAGAACAGCACCAGGAGAUGUCAAAGCCAGGCAGAUGAUGCACAAAGCCCUGCGACUGCAUCUCAACCUGGAAACAAAACUUGUGGCUGUCCUGAUGCUAUGAAAAGAUGCAGCAGCUGCAUGGGAAGAGGUGACACAUUGGACACACAGCCCUGACACCUGUGUGCUGUUUACAGGUGACACAUUGGACACACAGCCCUGCCACCUGUGUGCUG